rnacentral:rRNA from 1 species
GAUGAACGCUGGCGGCGUGCCUAAUACAUGCAAGUCGAGCGAACAGACGAGGAGCUUUCUCCUCUGAUGUUAGCGGCGGACGGGUGAGUAACACGUGGAUAACCUACCUAUAAGACUGGGAUAACUUCGGGAAACCGGAGCUAAUACCGGAUAAUAUAUUGAACCGCAUGGUUCAAUAGUGAAAGACGGUUUUGCUGUCACUUAUAGAUGGAUCCGCGCCGCAUUAGCUAGUUGGUAAGGUAACGGCUUACCAAGGCAACGAUGCGUAGCCGACCUGAGAGGGUGAUCGGCCACACUGGAACUGAGACACGGUCCAGACUCCUACGGGAGGCAGCAGUAGGGAAUCUUCCGCAAUGGGCGAAAGCCUGACGGAGCAACGCCGCGUGAGUGAUGAAGGUCUUCGGAUCGUAAAACUCUGUUAUUAGGGAAGAACAAAUGUGUAAGUAACUAUGCACGUCUUGACGGUACCUAAUCAGAAAGCCACGGCUAACUACGUG